rnacentral:rRNA from 1 species
UUCCGGUUGAUCCUGCCGGACCUGACUGCUAUCGGAUUGAUACUAAGCCAUGCGAGUCUUUGCAGUAAUGCAAGGCAUACGGCUCAGUAACACGUAGUCAACUUACCCUAUGGACGAGGAUAAUCUCGGGAAACUGAGCAUAAUACUCGAUAGAUCAUAAUGCCUGGAAUGGUUUAUGGUUGAAAUGAUUCGUCGCCAUAGGAUGGGACUGCGGCCUAUCAGCUUGUUGGUGAGGUAAUGGCCCACCAAGGCGAUUACAGGUACGGGCUCUGAGAGGAGAAGCCCGGAGAUGGGUACUGAGACAAGGACCCAGGCCCUAUGGGGCGCAGCAGGCGAGAAAACUUUGCAAUGUGCGAAAGCACGACAAGGUUAAUCCGAGUGAUUUCUGCUAAAGAAAUCUUUUGCAAGUCAUAAAACCACUAGUGAAUAAGGGGUGGGCAAGUUCUGGUGUCAGCCGCCGCGGUAAAACCAGCACCUCAAGUGGUCAGGAGGAUUAUUGGGCCUAAAGCAUCCGUAGCCGGCUUUGUUAGUUUUCGGUUAAAUCCAUGCGCUCAACGCAUGGGCUGCCGAAAAUACUGCAUAGCUAGGGAGUGGGAGAGGUAGACGGUACUCAGUAGGAAGGGGUAAAAUCCUUUGAUCUAUUGAUGACCACCUGUGGCGAAGGCGGUCUACCAGAACACGUUCGACGGUGAGGGAUGAAAGCUGGGGGAGCAAACCGGAUUAGAUACCCGGGUAGUCCCAGCUGUAAACGAUGCAGACUCGAUGAUGCAUUGGCAUAAUAGCCAAUGCAGUGUCGCAGGGAAGCCGUUAAGUCUGCCGCCUGGGAAGUACGUACGCAAGUAUGAAACUUAAAGGAAUUGGCGGGGGAGCACCACAAGGGGUGAAGCCUGCGGUUCAAUUGGAUUCAACGCCGGG